CCGUCGUCAUCCUCCUGCCUCUUUUCUCUCUGCCUUCAGCUAGCCGCCCGAAUUUCUGCGCCGAGAGGUAAGUCGACGAUCCGUACGUAUGCGCGUGUGUUUGUGCGUCGUUUACAUGUUAGUCCUAUACAGGUAUGUGUGCAUAUGUGCGAGUUGUGUGCGCGCACGGACGUGAGGAUGCGUGAACGAGAUUCUCGUAUGAACGUGUGUCGCAAUUUGCUACUUUAUUGCUCCUUUUCCUCCACCCUUCUUUUUUUUCUCGUGUCUCUUUCCUGCCAUACAUUUUCCUGUCUGUAUAACCGUCUUGUACUGUUUACCCCGUCUUCCAGCAUAGACAAACAUUAUUCUUUAUGUACACCGCUUUUCACAAAUAUUCGUUACACAUUGUUUCUUUUAUACAUUGCACGAACACAUGUGGACUAGAGUUUUUUAACGUAAAGGCAACGCGAGGAAGUUUCUUAAACUGGAACUGGUGUCAUUCGGAAGUAUGCGAGACUGAACAAUGUCAGUCUUCGACUGCCACCUAUGCACACAUGCUUGUACUCGCAAGUUUCCUACCUUCCUCUGAUUUCCUACUUCGUGGAAUACUGCGCUACAGUUAACCUAUUGUACCAUCAAUAUGUGUAUUUUACGCAUACGUAUACCAAAGAUUCGUCCAUCAAAGAGAAACAUUUUAAUUUCCUACGUACGUACAUUGCACUGCUUUCUUUUAUCUCAAACAGUUUCUCUGUAUGACAAUAAUUAUUCUGUACUACUGAUACUUUGUAUAAAUCGCCUAACCUAUAUCGUGUCACAAGAAGGCAGCAUACACGCGAAAUAAUUGUUCGGACACGUUCGAUCGUAUCGCGAAGUCGACAUCGUUUUGCCCUAGAACAGGUGACUCCAAUUACGGUCCAAUUACCUGUGCGUUUAAUUCUCGUCCGACGCGACGGUUGAGGCGUUAAUUCGAGAGCGUGUACUUCGCAAAAAAAAGGACAAAAGAAAAGAAAAAGAAGCAAGAGAGAGAAUCGUUACCAAUGACAAGCAACGUGUUAACACCCAUACCAAGUAUAAUGGAUCACGACAGAGUGUCGCACAUGCAUUUCGGAUAUAAAUCUCCAACGAUUGUUCCUUCCAUUCGGCGACGUACUCGACGCAUGAAAAGAAAAAGAGAAAAAACAAACGACUCCUAUGGUCGUUAAUUAUUUUCGAGCGCGAGAGAUGCAUUCUCGUGCGUGUCCCGAUUUUUCCUACCAAUCAUCGUUUCUCGUUUCGACGUUAUUCAAUGCCGGAUGAAUGACCGAUUUAAUAUUAAUUAUUGUUUAUAAUGAACAGCAUUUUUUCAUGUCACCUCCUCCAUCUUCGUUAGUCUGUUGAUCUAAUUGAAUAUUUAUAAUUGUUUACGUUUCGAGCAUGACCAUGCUUCUCUCUGCGUUCGUCGGAUGAUAGAUAUUAAAGUAUUCUAAUUAUACAGAAAGGACAAUAUAAUGAGAUAUAUUGUAUUAUGCGUAUACUGUUAUUUUUAUUAUCUGAUAACCACGGAAUAAUAUUGUAGUAAAAUUUAAUGACAAAAUGAAAAUACAUAUGUACUAUGUACAUAGGUAACUACUAUAGUGGUAUGCAAGACUUUGGGUAGACAGAUUUUUCACUUUAUAUUCGAAAAGAUAUAUUUUAAGAAACUUUAAUUUAUAUCAUAUGUCUAUGUAACAAUACUUUAUUUAUCGUACUAUUUUCUUAUAUCCAAUACUAUUUAAAUUAUUAUUAUUAUCGUCCCAAUAUUAGUUAACAUUCUUCCAGACAUUGUUCUUGAAAUAUGUACGUAUAAAGUGAGAAAUCUAUCUAGCCAGAAAAUCUUACACACCAUUGUAUAUAUCGUUACGAAAAUAAAAAUUUAGCAAGGAAAGAAAGCGACAAUCUUACAGCAGCUUCUAGAACGACACAAGAGCAAUGUAUUCGCAACAAGCAGUUUCCACUUCGUUAGUACGAACCUUUCUUUCACGUGCUAAAGAGCAGCACGAUAUACGGCCGCGACAUCGUCUCAUGUUUUUUCCUUAAACAGUCGGAGUUUAGCUAAAAAGCCAGCAACCUGCACUCGGCCGAUUUUGCCUACACGUGAGUGGUCAUACACCGCCCGAACUUUCCGAGGGAAGAACACCGAAGAUACACCGCCAAGGACGGCCGAUCUCACUAGCGACGCUACUUAAUACGUGUACUCGACCGAGUGUGCAAUUAAUCACCGAUCCGUGGGUAAUUGGUGCCGGGGCACGGGAAUCGAUCAGGCCGGAGCAUCGACGUGUGCACGGGCCAUUCAACGAAAGUUCCGUCACACUAUGUCCUGUCCUCCGAGACAUCCGGUUGAAAGUGUUUCGUUCAGAGGCUACUGCGGGAAAAAAGGGACCGAAGAGUUCAAAAAAUAGACUAGGAUGUGACGUUUAUACUCUCUGUUCAAUGAGAAAUCCAAUGUGUUAGAAGAGGUAAAUAAGAUCACGUGAUCAGAUUCUAAAGAAAAGGAUCAAUUUUCAAUUUUGGUAUUUUACUUGAAGUAGAUAGUUACCUCUUCAAACAUUAACCUUUUCAGCUUUAGCAACUGAGUUUAAAUAUUGUAAAGAUUACAAUUCAUUAUAUAAUAAUUAUGAAACAAUUGUUGGAACAUCGUGUAAUCAGUUAUGCUUAUCUCUUAUCAAUUGGACUCGUUGGACAGAAUAAGAACCUGGAAAAUGUAACAAAAUAUAAAUUAGAAUUAAGCUUAGAAUUGAAAUUAAUCUUAUAUAUAAAAAAAAAAUAAAUAAAUUGUAAUUGCAGAACUAAAAAGGGAAUAAAUAAACUACCUUUGAAUUA